rnacentral:rRNA from 1 species
GAUGAACGCUGGCGGUAUGCUUAACACAUGCGAGUCGAACGGACUCUUCGGAGUUAGUGGCGGACGGGUGAGUAACGCGUGAGAAUCUGGCUUUGGGUUCGGGACAACCACUGGAAACGGUGGCUAAUACCGGAUGUGCCGAGAGGUAAAAGAGAAAUUGCCUGAAGAUGAGCUCGCGUCUGAUUAGCUAGUUGGUGAGGUAAAGGCUCACCAAGGCAGCGAUCAGUAGCUGGUCUGAGAGGAUGACCAGCCACACUGGGACUGAGACACGGUCCAGACUCCUACGGGAGGCAGCAGUGGGGAAUUUUCCGCAAUGGGCGAAAGCCUGACGGAGCAAUACCGCGUGAGGGAAGAAGGCUCUUGGGUUGUAAACCUCUUUUCUUAGGGAAGAACAAAAUGACGGUACCUAAGGAAUCAGCAUCGGCUAACUCCGUG